rnacentral:rRNA from 1 species
AAAAAAGGUAAGCUACUAAGAGCGAAUGGUGGAUGCCUUGACUGGUAAAGGCGAUGAAGGACGUACUAGACUGCGAUAAGCUACGGGGAGCUGUCAAGAAGCUUUGAUCCGUAGAUUUCCGAAUGGGGCAACCCAAUGUAUAGAGAUAUACAUUACCUAUAUAGGAGCGAACGAGGGGAAUUGAAACAUCUUAGUACCCUCAGGAAAAGAAAUCAAUAGAGAUUGCGUCAGUAGCGGCGAGCGAAAGCGCAAGAGGGCAAACCCAGUGCUUGCACUGGGGGUUGUAGGACUGCAAUGUGCAAGAGGUGAGUUUAGCAGAACAUUCUGGAAAGUAUAGCCAUAGAGGGUGAUAGUCCCGUAUGCGAAAAACAAACCUUAGCUAGCAGUAUCCUGAGUAGGGCGGGACACGAGAAAUCCUGUCUGAAGCUGGGUCGACCACGAUCCAACCCUAAAUACUAAUACCAGAUCGAUAGUGCACAAGUACCGUGAGGGAAAGGUGAAAAGAACUGAGGUGAUCAGAGUGAAAUAGAACCUGAAACCAUUUGCUUACAAUCAUUCAGAGCCCUAUGUAGCAAUACAGGGUGAUGGACUGCCUUUUGCAUAAUGAGCCUGCGAGUUGUGGUGUCUGGCAAGGUUAAGCAAACGCGAAGCCGUAGCGAAAGCGAGUCUGAAUAGGGCGCUUAGUCAGAUGCUGCAGACCCGAAACGAAGUGAUCUAUCCAUGAGCAAGUUGAAGCUAGUGUAAGAACUAGUGGAGGACUGAACCCAUAGGCGUUGAAAAGCCCCGGGAUGACUUGUGGAUAGGGGUGAAAGGCCAAUCAAACUUCGUGAUAGCUGGUUCUCUCCGAAAUAUAUUUAGGUAUAGCGUUGUGUCGUAAUAUAAGGGGGUAGAGCACUGAAUGGGCUAGGGCAUACACCAAUGUACCAAACCCUAUCAAACUCCGAAUACCUUAUAUGUAAUCACAGCAGUCAGGCGGCGAGUGAUAAAAUCCGUCGUCAAGAGGGAAACAACCCAGACUACCAGCUAAGGUCCCUAAAUCUUACUUAAGUGGAAAACGAUGUGAAGUUACUUAAACAACCAGGAGGUUGGCUUAGAAGCAGCCAUCCUUUAAAGAAAGCGUAAUAGCUCACUGGUCUAGUGAUUUUGCGCGGAAAAUAUAACGGGGCUAAAGUAAGUACCGAAGCUGUAGACUUGCGCACAACUUAGAUUAUUUAAGUUUAGAAUAUGAGAAACUAAGUUAUAUGUUUAGUUAUAUUUUUACUGAUUUUUAUAGAGUAAAGAUAGAAAUAAAACUUAGUAAAAUCAGUAAAAAUAUUCUUAGACUAAAGUUAAGUAGUUUAAGUUGUGUGCAAGUGGUAGGAGAGCGUUCUAUUUGCGUCGAAGGUAUACCGGUAAGGAGUGCUGGAGCGA